CCAUAUGAUGCAUGAUUUGGUAUUCAUUCCAACCCCCAAGCCAUUUGUCAUGGCCUGACACCCUGACACUUCUGACCACCUGUUGUGACGCACUGGAAUCUUGAAUGUUGUUGUAAAUGUAAAAGAAAUAUUGUUUAUUGGUGUCUCAGUGUUAUAGCCUUGAUUAUAAACCAGAGAUUAAAUUUGCAAAGAUAAACCCCGUUCAAGGUAAGAUUAGUAUUUUUAAAAAUAUGCUGGAAUUGCGACCAGGAUUGAACAUAAUGGUUUUCAAACGUUCUCUGGUUGGAAAUUUUUAUCACAAGCUUUCGGCUGCCAAACUGCAGCCUUCGACCGCGGGUAGUUAUAUAAAAUACAAUAAUUACAGACGAGUAUAAACGGUUUUAUAGGCGUAUACUUUGCGUGGCGUAGGCAAACCUCCCAGCACGAGGUUGAGCGUAUACUUUGUAAUUGUAUUAUAAU